rnacentral:rRNA from 1 species
UGGGGAAUAUUGCACAAUGGGCGCAAGCCUGAUGCAGCCAUGCCGCGUGUGUGAAGAAGGCCUUCGGGUUGUAAAGCACUUUCAGCGAGGAGGAAGGUGGUGAGCUUAAUACGCUCAUCAAUUGACGUUACUCGCAGAAGAAGCACCGGCUAACUCCGUGCCAGCAGCCGCGGUAAUACGGAGGGUGCAAGCGUUAAUCGGAAUUACUGGGCGUAAAGCGCACGCAGGCGGUUUGUUAAGUCAGAUGUGAAAUCCCCGGGCUCAACCUGGGAACUGCAUUUGAAACUGGCAAGCUAGAGUCUCGUAGAGGGGGGUAGAAUUCCAGGUGUAGCGGUGAAAUGCGUAGAGAUCUGGAGGAAUACCGGUGGCGAAGGCGGCCCCCUGGACGAAGACUGACGCUCAGGUGCGAAAGCGUGGGGCAGCAAACAGGAUUAGAUACCCUGGUAGUCCACGCUGUAAACGAUGUCGAUUUUGGAGGUUGUGCCCUUGAGGCGUGGCUUCCGGAGCUAACGCGUUAAAUCGACCGCCUGGGGAGUACGGCCGCAAGGUUAAAACUCAAAUGAAUUGACGGGGUCU